rnacentral:sRNA from 1 species
GAGCCGAUUUGUAGUGAGGAGUAUCUGAAGGGGGCGAGGCCGGCCCAUGUGGGGUUGUGUCAUUGGUUUGCAAAGAGAGACCCCGCCUUUGCCCCCCCCCCCAAAAAAAGGAGCGAGGAGUGAGCGAGCGGCGACCCUCACCUCGCCUCCCGCCUCGCUCCUGCGCAGCCAGCGGGCACCGGGAGCUGCGGCCAGCGCCGCUUCUUUCCUUUCCUUUUCUCUCCGUUUUCCUCCUCCUUCCCCGGAGGAGAAAACAAAUAAAGAAGAGCAAAUAGCCGGGAGGCGCUCGGCAUCCAGGACGUUCCCUCCCCCGAUCCAAGUUGGAAUUAGCAUCCUCUCGGGGGUGGCUCGGGAGCGGCCCGGAGGAGCCGGCGGCGGCCCGAGGAGCGAGGGACCGAACCGGGAGCCAUGCCGCGCUGAGGGGGGGCCGCACAGCCGCCGCCACCGCCACCGCCGCCGGGUGGGGUGGGAGGGGCGGGAGACGCCGCCGCCGCCGCCUCCAGGGUGGGCGCCUUUCGCCGUGGACGCCGACCGUCCGGGACGAGGGUUCAUAGUGGCGUCAUGCACGCAGACUCCUGCAAGUUCCCCUAAGUUCUUAGAGGACUGCUUUGCCUUUUGAUCUGAGAGUUGCAAAGUUCCAUAAAGAAUGGCCCUUGUGGAUAAGCACAAAGUCAAGAGACAGCGAUUGGACAGAAUUUGUGAAG